rnacentral:rRNA from 1 species
UACAGAGGGUGCGAGCGUUGUCCGGAAUCACUGGGCGUAAAGGGCGCGUAGGCGGCUUGUCACGUCGGGUGUGAAAGCCCGGGGCUUAACCCCGGGUCUGCAUCCGAUACGGGCAGGCUAGAGUGUGGUAGGGGAGAUCGGAAUUCCUGGUGUAGCGGUGAAAUGCGCAGAUAUCAGGAGGAACACCGGUGGCGAAGGCGGAUCUCUGGGCCAUUACUGACGCUGAGGAGCGAAAGCGUGGGGAGCGAACAGG